rnacentral:rRNA from 1 species
AUGGAGGUGGACAUCUUCAGAUACGAGUACGGGAAGGCUCUCGUCAAACCUGGUCAUCCUCCUCUAACAACGAUGAUGCGAAUAUUGCAUGAAUGGUACAUGGAUACCUGCGGCAAAUCUGGGAAGGAUACGUUGGUGCUGGGAAUUAAAGAGGAGCACGACCUCAUUGGAACUAAGGUGUUGCCUGUUCAUUUUGUGGAGUUAUUCCAGUUAUACAAUCAAAACGCUCUGGAAAAACAACUCAUGACUUGCUACUGUCUAUUGAAGAUCGUCGAAUGCAAAAAAAAAACAAAUCUAUGA